rnacentral:rRNA from 1 species
CCUACGGGAGGCAGCAGUGAGGAAUAUUGGUCAAUGGACGGAAGUCUGAACCAGCCAUGCCGCGUGCAGGAAGACGGCUCUAUGAGUUGUAAACUGCUUUUGUACAAGGGUAAACCUGAAUACGUGUAUUCAGCUGAAUUUACUGUACGAAUAAGGAUCGGCCAACUCCGUGCCAGCAGCCGCGGUAAUACGGAGGAUCCAAGCGUUAUCCGGAUUUAUUUGGUUUAACGGGUGCGUAGGCGGAUUGAUAAGUUAGGGGUGAAAUGACCGAGCUUAACUCGGGAACUGCCUCUAAUACUGGUGAUCUAGAGAGUAGAUGCGGUAGGCGGAAUGUAUGGUGUAGCGGUGAAAUGCUUAGAGAUCAUACAGAACACCGAUUGCGAAGGCAGCUUACCAAUCUAUAUCUGACGUUGAGGCACGAAAGCGUGGGGAGCAAACAGGAUUAGAUACCCUAGUAGUC